rnacentral:rRNA from 1 species
ACACAGGUGCUGCAUGGCUGUCGUCAGCUCGUGUCGUGAGAUGUUGGGUUAAGUCCCGCAACGAGCGCAACCCUCGUCUCCAGUUGCCAUCGGGUAAAGCCGGGCACUUUGGAGAAACUGCCGGUGACAAGCCGGAGGAAGGUGGGGAUGGACGUCAAGUCCUCAUGGCCCUUACGGGCUGGGCUACACACGUGCUACAAUGGCGGUGACAGAGGGCAGCGAAGGGGCGACCUGGAGCUAAUCCUCAAAAGCCGUCUCAGUUCGGAUUGCACUCUGCAACUCGAGUGCAUGAAGGUGGAAUCGCUAGUAAUCGCGGAUCACGCAUGCCGCGGUGAAUACGUUCCCGGGCCUU